CAUUUUAAAAUUUUAAAUUUAAAUUUUAAAUUUUUAAAUUUAAAAUUUUUAAUGUUCGAUGUCAACAUUUUAAAAUUUAAAAUUUCACAUUUCAAAUUUCAAAAUUUCAAAUUUUAUAUUUCAAAUUUAAAAUUUUAAAUUUCAAUUUUUUUAGAAUUUUAAAAUUUAUAAUAUUGAUUUUUAAAUUUUAAAUUUUAAACUUUAAAAUUUUAAAUUUAAAAUUUUCAAAAUUUAAAAUUUAAAGUUAAAAAUUUUAAAUUUUAAAUUAUAAAUUUUAAAAUUUGAUUUUAAAACUUUAAAUUUUAAAAUUUAAAAUCUAAAAUUUAAAUUUUGGAUUUCAAAAUUUUAAAAUUUAAAUUUAGAUUUUCUGUUUCAAAUUUUCAAUUUUCAAAUUUGAAAUUCAAAAUUUUUUAAAUUUUAAAUUUUAAAUUUUAAAUUUUAAAUUUUAAAUUUAAAAAUUCAAAUUUAGGUUUUAAAUUUCAAAUUUUAAUUUAUAUUUUAUUUUUAAAAUUUAAAAACUAAAAUUUUAAAAUUUUAAAAUUAAAAAUUAAUAUGUUACGUUUUAAUAUGAAUCCAAGUAGUUUAAAAAUUGAAGUCGUAAAACUUUUUAGAGUUAUAAGAUUCCCUAUUUCAUCUAGACCAAAAUCAUAGUUAUGAACUCUAUGGAGAUUUUUUUUUCUGUAUAUCCAAAUAGACCCUUACAAGCACCGGAAGUAACUACUAUACUCUCAAUAAUACAUG
rnacentral:lncRNA from 1 species